AUUGGGUGAGAGAAAGUCAUAGGAGUCAGAAGGAAACAUGUCUGCAGCUGCCUCUGAUACGUGAGUAGACCUCUGCCCAGGUGAAGCUGAUGAUCCCCUAAGGAGGUGCACCUGGCCUCAAUGCUUAAAGGCACAGUGCUUGCUUCAGACAGAGAGAGGCUUUAGGAGCUGGGACUGCUGUGCUGUGGAGUUAAAAAGGCUGAGGUGAAGUUGUGUAACCGCAGGGAUGAAUUUCCAUGAUAAGAAGAUGGAGACAAUGUAACCGCUGUGAAAAAUUCCCCCAGACUCCUGCCCGUCUCGGCUGUUUAUUAUCGUGGAAUUGCGAGACAGACAUUGAAAGAGUCCAAAAAUAGAUCUGAGAUUCUUGGAAGGCAUUUCCACAGUUUAGAAAUGGCAACAAUCCUAAGUACAUACUGAAGAUAUAGUCCAGCUGACUGCUUUCACUUAGAGGAUCACCAUUUAGAAGACUGCUUUGGAAAAUGCUUUUGCAAAAUUAUGAAUUAUUAACCAGUACCAUCCUUUUUCAUCUUUAACAUUUAAAAUGAUUCUGUCACCACAAAAAAGGUUAACUCUAUCUGGAUUUAUUGCUUGAUGUAACCGUUUAAAGCCAGAGUGUAAUCUGUGUACAAACAGAAACUGUCCAGGAAAUGUGUGCCUUUUUUUUUUUUUACGCUGAUGAUGAAGCUUCCAGUUACUAAACUGCAACCUGAGAGGCAGAGUGACUCUUCACUGACGUCCACGUCCUUUUUUCAAAAAUAGAACACUAACUGUGCUUUUCAUGUAUGAAGAAUUGCAGCAGAAAUGGCACACCAUCAUCGCUUACAUCAUACUAUGACUGUGCCUGCUUUCAUGAAUUCAGUACUCAAUAUUUAGCAAAGUUCCAGUGGAAUUGAAUAACUGCCUUUAAGAGGCAGAAACCUCGAGCAAAACCAGACUCAUGAGGAACAGCCAUCUGCAGCAACAAUUUUGAACUUUGAAGGCAUGUGAAGCAGGCUUUGUACCAACGUUUUCAAUCACACUGUUUCUCCUGGGUUGAGCCACGAGACUUACUGAAGAGGAAUUCUGGGAACUGAAGAGGUCCUGUGUGUUACAGUUUGAAAUGUAUCUCUCUCUCUCUCUCUCUCUCUCUCUCUCUCUCUGUAUGUUGCCCCACUAAACAUUGAGAUUCAUGAUUACAUUUCCUUAUUUCAUGUUUUUAUUUAUUUAUUGUUAUUCUGGUAUUAUUGAGUGCUUCAUAAAUUACAGAGUCAAUUUAACUUUUAUUGUUUCCACCUCCCUGUCAGGAAUGGUCACCUUAACUGUAGAUUUAACUCUCUAAGAUUGUGUCAACGGCAGGCAAAAUAGUGAGAAAACCACAAAAACCUCCAUCUCAAUUAUGGACUGAUAUGACAAUGAAGAGAGCGAGGAGUAUCCCAGCAGAUAAUUCCCAACCUCUCUUCUUCCGGUUUGAGCCUUUGAGCUGUAGGAGGCGCUAUAUAGAGUCCGUCUGGCAAUUAAAAUAUCUUACAACAUGACUCUGCUCGCUUAUCUGUGUUACUGACUGGCUGAAUGUGUUUAUACUGUUUUAUUUAUCUGGAGAGCCUAGAACAGAUUUCCACCUCUGGUGGACAAUAAAGAUUUGAUCUAUUCUGUUCUAUGCUAGGCACGUUGUGUAUUAAAAGUGUUAAACAAAUAAAGUCUGAUGGCUCUU